rnacentral:rRNA from 1 species
CACGGAAGGGGCAAGCGUUACUCGUAAGUAUUGGGCGUAAGGCGUCUGUAGGUGGUAAUUCAAGUCUGCUGUCAAAGACCGAAGCUUAACUUCGGAAAGGCAGUGGAAACUGAAUAACUAGAGUACGGUAGGGGUAGAGGGAAUUUCCAGUGUAGCGGUGAAAUGCGUAGAGAUUGGAAAGAACACCAGUGGCGAAGGCGCUCUACUGGACCUGUACUGACACUGAGGGACGAAAGCUAGGGGAGCGAAAGGG